GUCACCAUCUCUGAAGUAGAAGGGCUGACAGACAACAGAAGGGACUUCCUGCCAGGGGAGGAGCUAUGAGCAGAAGGCAGUGGGAGCCCUCUCCUUCCUUGAAGACCAGGAAGAUGUGCAUCCCUCCAACCCUGCCGUGCCUGGGCUCCACCCGGUCUCCCUUUACUCAAAGUAUUUCCUCUCAGCCAUCUCUUUGCUGACUGCUCCCUAGUCCUGGUUCUUAACCCACAGAUAUUUAAAGUGGAAAUGAGAGAACUGAAGUUCUGGAAAGGUGAGAAUCAAAUCUACAGCCCAUUCGUUCAGCAACUUCCUGUCUCCACCCUGUGAAGAGGCACAGAGGGAAUUUGCACAGAUGGUUGUGGUGGCAUGGCCCCCGAUCUGUGAAGAAUUCUGCAGAAUAGAAGGGGAGCCAAAGACUGGAGGUGAAAAUAGGAGCUUCCAAUCUUUAGGGAAGGACUUCCUUGGCGGUCCAGUGGUUAAGACUCCACGCUCCCACUGCAGGGGGCGCAGGUUCGAUCCCUGGUCGGGGAACUAAGACCCCACAUGCCUCACAGC